GGAAGCGUCUGUAAGGUUACAACACAAGUCACUGAUAAUUCUGAUGAAUAUUUCAAAGUUACUGACAUCUGCCCGGCAUCAAUGAUAAACGGCGGCUGUAUUUUAAACGGUCCUAAGGUAGCAAAAUUCCUUGUCGGGUAAUCUCCGUCCUGCAUGAACGGUGUAACGACUUCC
rfam:Plasmodium falciparum Dd2 supercont1.1656 genomic scaffold, whole genome shotgun sequence.